UUGCAACCGCCUCCUGUCAAAAUUUUAUUUUUCAAAUAGACAAUAGGCAAUUCCAAAACAUCUAGUAGAAUGGACUUUGACAAAUUGAUUGCAUUUUAAGGAAGUAUUAUUAUUUUGGAAGUAUUAGCGUUAUAAAAGCCUUAAGUCGGUAUCUAAGAUGAGUGAAAAGCGAAGACCCAAUCAUUAUUGGUUAAUGGAUCCAUGGUACAAUCAACAAUACGUUAAAAAGCGCAAGAAAGCAGAACAGCCCCAGAGAACUACUACCGAUAAUCUUAUCAACGAUGGCGUCAAUGAGGUUUUCAUAGAAUCAGGAGAAAGUUUGCAAACAGAUACUUCUUCGGAUAUCUCCGAUGACAACAACACAAUCAAUCCAACAGAAGUAAACAGUUCAUUUUCAGUAGCAUCAGAAAGUGAAUUACCGGACCUUCACUAUAAUGAAUUACACGUUUCCAAUGAAGCCACAGAUCAGGAAGAUUCUCAAUCCGAUUUUAGCAGGCAAACGAGUUCGUGUAAUGCAUCGGAAGUGCCAAGUGAUUUCGAUAAUCAGAACAGGGAAGGAAUAGAGGAAUCGGUGAGAUGUUUUCUUAUGGGAUCCAACCACAAUGUUGCAUUAGAACUUUCACAAAAAUCUAUGAAGAUCUGACGAAAGAAACAUCAAACAUUGUCACUGUUCUAAUUAGCUGUUUGCAGUGGUGCAAAAUAUAAAAUUAGAAGAUCAGGAUCGAUGGAUUGCUAUUUCAGCGUUUGUGAAAUGUGAAUAAAGGCAGAAAUCGGAA